UGAUCUCGUUUUUUUGGGGUCUAAUCUUGGUUUCUUGCUCACGUAUCAUGUCGCUACCAGCGAAAAGAAUAUAUGUGAGUUAUUAUUAAUACCGUUAAUCUGCUCUCUCUCUCUCUCUCUUACUUUUCUCUUUCUGGCGAACUUGUAAACCCAACCAGUAAUUUCCGGCGGAACUCUGGCGCAGGUAAGGAUCUCUCUUCUCUCUCUCCCCUCUCCCCUCUCUCCUCUCUCCUAUUCUUCGCAGUUCCCUUCCCUUCUCUCUGCUACACUGCCGCUUCUUUCUUUUCUUGAACGCACAGCGGGUGUCCUCUCUUUCCCCAACUUCAUUCCCUCCCCUCUCAUUAUGCGUGUGUGUGUGUGUGGUGUGUUUGUGAACACGUUUUCCGAUCAGAUUUCCAGCGCUGACUACGAGCGUCGGCCGUCAGGCAGGUUUUCGGUGAGCAGUUAGACGCUGCAGUUGGAGGUCAGAUUUCCGGCGGAUAUCUUGGCUCAAGGCGACAUUCUACCAGGGUCUAGUCGAUUUGGCAGUCCGUCUACAAUCCAGGUUUCGUCGCUCUUGUUUACUUUUAUCGGGAGUUGGCACCUCUUAUUCUUCAAUUAGUAUUUCUAUUUUCCUUGUUGUUAACCAAUUAGUUUGGGAUAGAUUAAGCCUAAUUCUUGAUUGCCUACUUGUACUCUUAAUUAGUGCAUUUGCCUGUCUACUUUCUUGAUAGUAACUGUUUUGGGAUUUCUAGUUUGUAAUUUUGAUUCCUAUUUUCUUUGCGGCUGGCUUUUUUAUAUAUCUAUUUUUAUCGCUAGUUUAAUUCUUGCUUGUUUGUUUUCUUAUCUGUACGCAUAAUUAGUGGUUAGAGCUUAAGUAUUAGACUUGCCUCUUUUAGUUUAAUCCUUUGCCUGUUUGAGCGCCAGUUCUAGCAUAAUUUUCCUUAGAUUAUAGUGGCUGGAGUGAGUGAUGGUAGAAUAAAGUCAUGUCCUCGGGUGGGGUGCGGGUGGCGAGGGGCGGGGGAAGGUGGCAAGGGAACCUCUAAACUGAGAGUUGGGUCCUGGAACGUAGGUACUCUGACGGGGAAGUCAAUAAAGUUAGCGAAGAUCCUCCAGACGAGGAAGAUCAAUAUAGCUUGUGUCCAGGAGACUAGAUGGAUGGGUUAUAAGGCUCGAGAUGCUAAUGGGUAUAAAUUGUGGUACUUAGGGCGCGUGAGGGGUAAAAAUGGGGUAGGCAUCUUGGUUGACAUGGAUCUUAGGGAGCUAGUGGCAGAAGUUAGGAGAGUGAACGAUAGGCUGAUGGCUAUUAAGCUGGUUGUGGGAGGGUCUACUUUAAACGUGAUUAGUGCUUACGCGCCUCAAGGGGGUUUGGACGAGGAGAUUAAGAGGCAUUCCUGGGAAGACCUUGACGGGUUGGUCUGUGGCAUUCCGCACACCGAGAAGUUAUUCAUAGGAGGAGAUUUCAAUUGUCACAUUGGGGCGACCUCUAGGGGUUAUGACGAUGUACAUGGCGGCUUUGGUUUUGGAGUUAGGAACGGAGGUGGUACUUCGUUGUUGGACUGUGCUAAAGCCUUAGAUUUGGUGAUUGCUUACUCGUGUUUUCCAAAGAAGGAAGAGCACUUGGUCACCUUCAAGAAUUCAUUAGCCAAGACUCAAAUUGAUUAUCUACUCCUCCGGAAGGGUGAUAAGGGUCUUUGCAUGGAUUGCAAGGUUAUACCGAGCGAGAACCUCACGACUCAGCAUAGGUUAUUGGUGAUGGACUUAGAGAUCGUGAGGAAGAAGAAGAAGCGGUCUGGUAUGGUCAGCCUAGGAUGAGGUGGGGUGCCUUGACUAAUGACAAAGCCUAGGAGUUGGGGGAGGGGGGGAGGGGAGGAAGUUAUUGGCUAUGGGAGCCUGGAAGAGCAGUGGGGAUGCGAGUUGUAUGUGGACCACGACAGCGAAAUGUAUUAGAGUAGCUGCGAGAGAGGUGUUAGGGGUCUCGAACUGUUUCUCUGGCGGCCGCAAAGGUGACUGGUGGUGGAGUGAAGGGGUACAAGAGAAAGUGGAGGCCAAGAAAGCAGCGUACUUGAAGUUUAUAGAGAGCAUGGACGAGGAGGCGAAGAGGACGAACAGGGAGGGUUAUAAGAAGACUAAGAAAGAGGCGAAGUUAGCGGUUACUGCGGCUAAGACUGCGGCGUAUGGGCGUUUGUAUGAGGAGUUUGGGGCCAAAGGCGGGGACAAGAAGUUAUACAGGCUAGCCAAGGUGAGGGAGAGGAAGGCCCGUGAUCUAGAUCAAGUGAAGUGCAUCAAAGAUGAGGAAGGUAGAGUUUUGAUCGAAGAGGCUCAGAUUAGGCGAAGGUGGCAGACAUACUUCCAUAAACUCCUAAAUGAAGAGGGUGAUAGGAACAUUGUGCUGGGCGAUUUGGAGCACUCCGAGAUUCGCCGGGAUUUCGGGUAUUGUAGGCGCAUAAGAGUAGAGGAGGUUGAGGGGGUUAUGCGCAAGAUACACAGGGGUAGAGCAACCGGGCCAGACGAAUUCCCUGUGGAAUUUUGGAAGAAUGCAGGUAGGGCAGGUUUGGAGUGGCUCACUAGGUUGUUCAACGUCAUUUUUAGGACGAAGAAGGUGCCCGAAGAAUGGAGGUAGAGUACGAUGAUUUCGGUGUAUAAGAACAAGGGUGACAUCUAAAGUUGCAAUAAUUAUAGGGGGAUUAAGCUGCUGAGUCAUACGAUAAAAGUUUGGGAGAUGGUGGUUGAAGCGAGGGUGAGGAGCAAUGUGUCCAUUUCUGAGAACCGGUUCGGUUUCAUGCGGGGACGUUCGACUAUGGAAGCCAUUCACCUUGUGAGGAGAUUGGUGGAGCGGUAUAGGGAGAUGAAAAAGAAUUUGCAUAUGGUGUUCAUUGACCUAAAAAAAGCUUAUGACAAAGUCUCAAGAGAGGUGCGCUUUGGAGAUGUUUGGAGGCUAAAGGGGUCCCAGUAGCCUAUAUUAGGGUGAUUAAGGACAUGUAUGAUGGAGCCAAAACUCGGGUUAGGACAGCGGAAGGAGACUCAAAACACUUUCCGGUUGUGAUGGGGUUGCACCAGGGAUCAACUCUUAGCCCAUUUCUAUUUUCCUUGGCAAUGGAUGCAUUGACGCGACACAUUCAAGGAGAGGUGCCAUGGUGUAUGUUAUUUGUUGAUGACAUUGUUCUUAUUGACAAGACGCGGGGUGGUGUUAACGAGAGGCUGAAGGUCUAGAGGCAGACCCUUGAGUCUAAGGGCUUCAAGUUAAGCAGGACCAAGACGGAAUACUUGGAGUGUAAGUUCAACAACGUUAUCCAGGAAGCUGAUAUGGAGGUGAGGCUUGAUAUACAAGUCAUCACCAAGAGAGAUAGUUUCAAGUAUCUUGGAUCUAUAAUACAAGGUAACAGGGAGAUUGAUAAGGAUGUCACGCACCGUAUCGGAGCAGGAUGGAUGAAGUGGAAGCUCGCUUCCGAUGUCUUGUGUGAUAAGAAUGUGCCGCUGAGACUUAAAGGCAAGUUCUACAAGGUUGUAGUUAAACCGACUAUGCUGUAUGGAGCAGAGUGUUGGCCUGUUAAAAAUCCUCAUAUCCAGAAGAUAAAAGUAGCUGAGAUGAGGAUGUUAAGGUGGAUGUGUGGGCAUACCAGGUUGGAUAAGAUUAGGAAUGAAGUUAUUCGGGAUAAGGUGGGAGUAGCCCCUGUGGAGAAUAAGAUGCGGGAAGCGAGGUUGAGAUGGUUCGGGCAUGUUAAGAAGAGAAGUAUAGAAGCCCCGGUCAGAAGGUGCGAGAGGUUAGCCUCAAUAGGUAUUAUGAGGGGUAGAGGAAGGCCUAAUAAGUCUUGGGGAGAGGUUAUUAGGCGGGAUAUGACGCAGCUGGAGCUGACUGAGGACAUGGCCCUAGAUAGGAGGGUGUGGAGGUCGAAGAUUAGGGUAGAAGGCUAGUAGGUAGUCGAGCGUUUCUCUUUGUUUUACUCAGUUCGCUAGCAUUAGUGUUAGUAUGAUAUCCUUCUACUCAUUGGCUUUUACUACCUAUAGUUUAACUGCUUUCUUGACUUCGGUAUUUUUUAUUUUGUUGUUAUUCCUACUUGUUGCCACCUUUUUCCCUUAUCUUCUUCCAUCCGUUCUCUAGCCGACGGUCUAUCAGAAACAACCUCUCUGCCCUUCCAGGGUAGGGGUAAGGCUGCGUACAUCUUACCCUCCCCAAACCCCACUUGUGAAAAAUUACUAGGCUUAUUGUUGUUGUUAUAUAUGGAUACAACUCCUCAAUUUUAAAACCAAACACUUAAGGGCCCGUUUGGACAUACAAUUUGGUUGAAGAUUUUUCCAAAAAAAUUUCACUUUUUUUCGAAAUCAGCGUUUGUUCAUAAAAUUUUAAAUUUUCACUUAAGAUGUAUUUUGGAAAUUUUCGAAAAUUUGAAAAACCGCAAAAAGCUAUUUUUCAAAAUUUUCACUCACAAAACUUCAAAAACAACCCAAACUUAAAUUUAUGUCCAAACACAACUCAAAAUUUCAAAUACCAUUUUCACUUGAAAAUAUUUUUCACCAUUUUUUCGAAUUUUACAAUUCUUAUGUCCAAACGCCUACUAAGUCCUUACAUAAUAGAAAUCAUAUGCCCCAUAUAUUUGUGUAAUAUUUCCAUUAUACUUGGGGUUAAGUACUUAUUUGAAAUGCAGGAGUGUGCCCACAUAUACAUCGGAUAACAGAUAGAUGAAUGUCAAGAAUAAUUUACUUUAAUAAACAUAAUUCUCAUGUUAGCAAAAUAUUCUCAAAAAACAAUUCUCAUAUUAGCUAAAUCAAAAAGAAAAUGCAAGAUAAUUAUAAUAGGCAAAAAGACGUAUUCCACAUACUACAUCCAAAUAUCAAAUAACUGCAAUAUAAUUAGCAGCAUAAUUAUCACAUUACAUGCAUGGCUGAAAAAUAGCACAAUACUGAAAUGUGAUAGAAAGAAAUAAAAUCAGAAUAGCAAUUUCAGAAAAUUGAAUAAAAAGAUUCGUUAUACAGAACCAGAAUGAGAAAAAAAAGGAAGAAGAAUGGUGUGGACGAGAAUUACCUCCACCAAUUUGGAGCACGUCUCAGUCGCCGCAGCAGUAGGAGGCAGGCAAGCAGCUUCUUCGUCCCUCCCAAAAUGCGUCAGGGUUGGGAUAGUUUUUUCGAUUUUUUUUUUUUUUAUCGGAUGUCCCCGAAGGAACAAAUUUCGAUUUUUUAUUAACUUUCUUUUUUCAAACACGCAGAAAACAUUUCCUUUUGAGUUAUAGCUUUGUUUUGCUUUUUAUGUUUGUUAUAUUCUUUUGUUUGAAUUAUUCCCUAGCAAGUUCAAUUUUUUUUUUUUAGCAAAUAUACCACUAAGUUGUGUGCUUAGUGGUAUUUUUUAUUAAUAAUAAUCAAAACAAAAAUAACAAAAUACAAAGUGUCAGGAGGUCUCACAAAGUGUAAAUGAGUGAAAUAUGAAAGUACAUCAAUCCUAUUAUCAAAGUUGAGGAGUCACGCCUGGACUCCUCAACUUUGAUAGUACAAAAAGAACUAUGAAGCAUAUUCCUUAGAGGAGUCACGCCUGGACUUGAACAUGUAUAACCAUUGCUUUCCAAGCUUUUAUAGCAUAUUUUGUAACUCUACACUUCUGAUUCUGGGCAUAAACCUUUGGAAUCCUGAGUAUAUGGUAGGUCCAGAUGAUACCUAAAACAGUACUCCACUCUUGACAAAGCCAAUUUUGUAACUAAAUUACACGCAAUUAAGUACAUCGUUACUGUCCAAGUCAAGGCAUUGGUGAUGUAGUUGUGACUUUGCCUUAGGGUUUUGCACUUGUAUCUGUCCUCUCUCAUUACAUACCUGCCAAAACUAUCAUCCUCAUGUGUGAAGAUGAAUAAUAUACCUGGCAUUUCCUCCGAAUGAUGCUCAACUGGCCCGUAACAUGUUGGGAACUCCCAUGGUUUAAAGUGUCCAGCCUUGACAUUAGCACAGUAAUACGCGUGUCCACAGCCCUUGUGUUGUCAUGUGGCCUGCCAGUAUUACCUUGUAUGACCUCUAGGAAGCAGCAGAUGUAAUGGAAGGUGCAUCUUCUAGUAUAGUACUUCCCAUCUUCACCAAACUGUAAUUCUAUAAUGCUUCAGUUUGGUUGGCUCAUGUACAACCUUCACCCUGUCUUGUUAAGUAAGUAUUUGGGCUGGUUUAUGUAGUGCCUACACCUACAGGGAAUGAGUAUCAAAGAUACUAAUACCAACCUAAUAGGCUUGGCCAACACAUAGAACCAAGCACCAUCUAAAGUACCUGCAAAACAAGAAACUAUGUUAGUGGAAAAAUUUUCCUACUCUCCUCACAAUAGAUUCGAGUAGAAAGAGCAGUGAGAUAUCCUUCCCCUAAGACCUUCCCAUAACCUCCAGUAUACAUCCUCAUCAACCUCCUUACUACCCAGAAACUCCCUAUCGACUUCAGUUCGUUGGAAUGCAUCAUCAUUUGGAGUUUGGCUUGCCAGUUCUUACCCUAAUAUAGGGUAUCUGUAGCUUGUCAUUGUUCAAUAUCUUCCUCCUUUGUAUGUCUAGUUCCUCAAACGAAUGUACUUGUACCAAUGCAUGUUGUUCGAGUGUCAAGUUAGCUAAAUGAUCUGCUAACUUGUUGCCCUCCCUCAGUACAUGAAUUACUUGAAGCACUCCUCUAGACAAUAGUGUUUUAAUUUCCUCUACUUAUUGGCUAUGCUACAGGGUGGUUCCCAGACUUCCUCCAGUAUUCUCUUCAUCAGCAAGGAAUCUGUUUCAAUUUGACAUGGAGGGAACUGCUAUUGAGUUAUGUAUCUGAGAGCUUCAAGGAUAACUUGUGCUUCAGCUAUGGAGUUUAUUGCAUCAACAAUUGAGUCUGCCUGAGCAUAUAUAAGGUUACCUAUUACAUCUCUUAUGCAGAAUGCAUACGAAGCUCCUCUAUUGUCUCCUUUGCAAGCACCAUCAAUAUUGCAUUUGAUCCAGCCCACAUGAGGUAAAUGCAAUAACACCUUAGUAUACUUUAGUUUAGGGACAUGAUGCAGUAACUUCUCAUGAAGAUCUGGCCAAUUUGCAGUAACUCCCUUGAAGUUUGACCUCCUUACCUUUAAGAGUAUUUGUAUUGAGGUUGAAAUCAGAAAGAUCAGCAUGUUAAUAGACACAUUCUUCCCAUGCAUUCCUGAAUUUCUCCUCUUUCAUAGGUGCCACACAAUUAGACUUGGCAUAGCAUGAUACACUACCUUCAAACUUGUGUUAACUGGCCUACUCCACCAUUCAUUUAUGACUUGUGCUAACUGUUUCCCUGCUUUUUUAAUCCCUGCAGGUGCACCAAAGUAGUCCCAAACAUAUCUGGCAACUGGAGACUUCAAAAAGACAUGAGGCAGUGUUUUCUUCUUAGGAUUUCUACAGUACCAACACCUUGAAGUUCUAAAGUAUCCCAUCCUUAAGAACCAGUCAUCUAGUGGCAACUUUGUUUUCCUUAACCUCCACAUAAAGAAACUAACUUUGAAUGGUAAGCCUUUUACCCAAACGAAUUUGUAUAGCCUGUUUUCUUCCCUUCUUCUCCUUGUGUAUUGCCAUACAAAUUUCAUUGUGAAGUGGCCUUUUGAUUCCAGUUCCACCAUGGUUUGUCCUUCACAAGAUAGUCUGCAAGUGAUGUGAUGUUCUCCAGUAUAUGGUCAGCUAUAUCAUCAGGCAACAACUCCCCCAACAACACAUCAUUCCAUGCUCCAUUCUUCACCACUUCAUCAACGUACCUUAUGGAUUCAUCAGACCAAUGGUCUGCCCCUGAAGCAUGGUAAAGAGCUUCAAGUCCAGUCCAAUUGUCAUACCAGAAGAAAGAGUUUCCACUCUUAAAUUGCCACCACACCUUUGGUUGGAAUUCUUUUUUCUGUGAAUUGAUCUUGAAAAAAGUCCACUGCCUCCCUAGCUAUUUCACCUGUGUUUCAAUCCAAUUGCCAUUGUUAUAAAAUAUUCUGGAUACCUGCAACCUUUUCCUUUUGCCUUUGACAUGAGCAUGAAAGAAUUUUGUAUUUCUAUCCCCAUCCUUGAACCACUGCAUACCAGCCUUUUGCCUCCAAAUUUCUUCUUCUAAGUGAUAGAACCUUGUAAGAUCAGCCUCAACCUUAUGCAGCUUAGCUUUAUUUUGAGUUGUUGGAUUUAGUUCAAACUCCACCUCAUAUACCUUAAUGGUAUCUUUUAGUGUUGUAAUUUGUUUAAAUAUGUCUCCAAAAGUCUCCUUGCUCCAACCUGCUAGUGCUUUCUUUACAUUUUUUAGCUUGUUUUAAAACAUAAUACAUGGAUUCCCCACACUAUCAGUUGACAAAUUCUCCUUCACCACAUUCAGGAAAGUAUCAUGCUUUCUCCAAAAAUUUAGAAACUUGAAAGGUUUCUUAACCUAGACAGUGUCAAUGUUACAAGAUAACAAGAUAGGGACAUGAUCGGAACCAUAUUUAAUCAAAUGCUCAACUUCGGUACUGGGAAAAGAUCCUGAAAUUGUUGAUUAGCCAAUAAUUUGUCAAGCCUCUUGAAAAUGCAAUCAUCAUCAGACCUCUCAUUCCAUGUAUAUAGACUCCUUUUGAAGCCCAAAUCAUACAAUGCACAUGUAUCAACACAUUGUGCAAAGUCUUCUACUUCACUUAGGUAUACUAGACGUCCACCAUACUUCUCUUUUUCAGAUAAGAUAACAUUAAAAUCACCCCUACAAGCCAUGGUGAUUCCAUAUCUGAGGCUAAAUAGUACAUAGAUGCCCACAAUUCAAUCCUCUCUAUGGCAUCACAUUUAGCAUACACUAGUGUAAUAAUGAUCUCCAUACUCAAAUUUCUAUGAAACAACCUUAAAGUCAUUUAUUGCUCCAUAUCCAUCAUAAUGUCAACGUCUAUUUCCUCAUCUACAAAAGCCCAUAUCUUACCAUUCAUAUUUGCAAAGGCAUAAUGGAUCUUAGCCUUCUUCUAUACUUCUCCAGCUUAUUGGUAUCUUGCCAAGGCUCCAUCAAACCAAUGAGAUAAAAAUUGUACUUCAUAUGUAGAUUAAUUAAUUUUUGGAAAGCUUUUUGUGUGUUCACAAACCUCACAUUCCAUACUAAUGCAUUAUCUAUAAGAUCACUUGGAAGUUGAGAGCCCACUCCUCUUUGGUUGUACCCUCAUAGGGACAAUCUUCUCUUCGUGUUUCUUUGAUUGUUUCCCAGUAGAUUUCUUUUUAUCAACACUCCUAGGUGACAUGUCGCCAGCCCUAACUGCUUAUUGAAAGUUGGCAGCAGUAAAUUCUUCCUCAAUAUCCUCGCCUAUUUCCUCUUGCUCACCUUUAUCAUUGUCAACCACAUGGAGAACCAUAAGAUUUGGCUCAUGUCUCUUAGCUAUCAUUCCCAACUCCUUUUGGCCCCUGUGAUUGAUAAGCAUACCUUUUGCCAAUAUGCCACUAGUAACACUAAAUAUUUUUCAAGCUAGAAUCCCAGGAUAAUCUACUGCCAACCCUGUAGUUUGGAUUGCCUUGUUGUUUGUGUUUGACUGCCCAGCUUCAGAAUCACAAGCUAUUAUUGCUAGGUCAAUUUGAUCAUGUGAUUGACUUGUAGCCUCCUUCAAUACUAAUGCAUUCUUCUCCAUAGUCCCCAAUGCCUCCUGCAUCACCCUAAAUUGAAGAUCAUAGACUGAUCCUAAUGUAGGGUUUACUGUAGCACUUGUUGCAAACACUGUUCCAUUGGUUUCCAUCUCCUUUCCUUCAGCUAUGUGAUGAUCUGACUUCACUGUAUCCUCUAAUACCUUAGUACUAGCCUUCUCAACAUGAUCACCACUCAAAAUUUCCAGCGGAGCACCUCCAGCAUCAUUUACAACCUAUGCAACCUACCUAGGAAUUACUAUUACAUUAGAUUUCUUCUUAAAUGAAGCUCCACCUGUUGAUUCUCCAGCAGUCUUAGCUUGUUUAUGAUAUCUUUGAGUCUCUUUAGCUGAUGGUGUACCAUGUUUCUUAUUCAAUUCUUUAGAAUCUUCAACCCUAGAUUUCUGGGUACUAGGUUUUAAUGUAGCAGGAGUAAUUAGGUCAACUGUUUUUCCCCGCACUCUUCCAGUUUGCACAUACAGUCUUGUACUGUUUUCUUCAUUGUUUUCCUCCCUAUUCUCAACUUCAUCACUCCAUAAUUGAUAUCCAGAUGUUGCUUCAUAGUCAGCUGCAUUCAGUUUGGUGGAUUCUUCUAACGUUUGUGAGGGAAUUUCAUGGCAUGAAUGAUUAAUUGUCACAUUGAGUUGCCUCAAUUAUUCUUUGUUUGUACCAAACCUUCUAUGUACCUAUUCAAUGGUCGACUCUUUUUUGUUAGCUUCCUCAAUCCCAGAAAUAGUAGGAUUAGGAUUCUUUUCUUUGGUCGCACUUGUGCUCCCACCCUUCUUUGGACUAGAAGUCCCAGUAGCACUAGGAUUUGACUUGUUUCCCUUGUUUGGAUCAGCUUCAUCAUUGUUCAGUACCUUCUGCACUGCCUCCUUCUUUAUCUAUAUUGCUUCCUCAAUUUCUCCUUCCUCCAAUAAUGCAAAUUUGUUCUUUGUUUGAAUUGGAUCCUUGGUUUUCUGCUCCAUAUUCUUAGUCUCCUUUACAGUAACCUCUUUUCUCUUCUUCUCCUCUUCCUUCCCAGCAUGAUCCUUCUUUGGCCUACUGUCCUUGACCUCCAUCCACCUACCAUUAGGAUAACCAACUAUUUUUCCACUCGUUAGCAUUCUAAUUGUUGGCUUAAUAUUAUUUAGUUGCACCUGAUUCUUAUCAGUAGCAUCACUUUGAACUUGUGCCUCUGAUUGAGUUUCCACAGCUAGUAUAAGAUUUGGAUAUAGUCUUCUACAUUCCUCUUCAUUGUGACCUUGAAGCCUGCAUUCCUUACAAUAUUUGGGAAUAUAGUCACAUUGCACCUUCACCCAUUCAGUUCUAAUCGUCCAGUUGUCUCAUUCUCAAUGUCCAUCUUUACCUUUUUAGGCAAUUUAGAUAGUAAGUCUACUUGUAUUUUGACUCUAGCACAACUAGGUCUAGUUUUGUUGAUCGUGGCCAUAUCAAGAUGCAAUAUUUUACCAACUGCUGAGGCUAAUGAGAAUAAAUACUCCUUUACAAAGUAAGUUGGUAAUAAAUUAGGGAACGAAAUCCAAGCCAUUGCUAUAGGUGUUUCCUCACCAACUUUGAAUUUAGCAUCAUAGAUUAAAGGCCUCAUCUGAUAUGGGUAAGCUCUCUUUGAUGUAAGCAUGAUCAACACAUGCCUAUCUCUAAGAAAACCAACAUUGCACUCACAUUUUAUCCCAUAUUGAUUAGGUAUCAACUUACGCAGCUCCUGCAAUUCUGGCCAUCCAUACGAAAAUUUGCCAAUGAUAGCAUAUUGCAAUCCUUCAAUGAUAUUCAUGCGAGUAACUUCUGCUUCUGUCCAUUUGAUUAAUGGCUGCCCAUGUAGGAAAGUAACAGAUUUUAUGGGGAUAGGGGCAACAGUGAUCAUAUUAGGUUUUACGUGCAUGAUCGUAUUUAAUGCACUAGGUUUGAGAAUAUGCGUGUAAUCUAAUGGUUGAGGAAUGAUUGGAGUAUUUCUAGAGGAUGGUGUACGGUUGUUAAGGGGC
rnacentral:lncRNA from 1 species